rnacentral:rRNA from 1 species
UACGGAAGGGUGCAAGCGUUUAUCCGGAUUCACUGGGUUUAAAGGGUGCGUAGGUGGGCAGGUAAGUCAGUGGUGAAAUCCUGUAGCUUAACUACAGAACUGCCAUUGAUACUAUCUGUCUUGAAUACCCUGGAGGUGAGCGGAAUAUGUCAUGUAGCGGUGAAAUGCUUAGAUAUGACAUAGAACACCCAUUGCGAAGGCAGCUCACUACGGGAAUAUUGACGCUGAGGCACGAAAGCGUGGGUAGCAAACAGG